CCAGCCGUAAACGAUGAGUGCUAGGUGUGGGGGGCAACAAUCCUCCGUGCCGGAGUUAACACAAUAAGCACUCCGCCUGGGGAGUACGGCCGCAAGGCUAAAACUCAAAGGAAUUGACGGGACCCCGCACAAGCAGUGGAGCGUGUGGUUUAAUUCGACGCAACGCGUAGAACCUUACCAGGGUUUGACAUCAUGGUGCCAGCUGUGGAAACACAGUCUUCCGUAGCAAUACGGACGCCAUGACAGGUGU
rnacentral:rRNA from 1 species